rnacentral:lncRNA from 1 species
CUAAAGAACUUUCAAGUUUGACCUUUAGGUCAAUUCAUAUGAAGUCUGAGAACUGAAGAUUGGAUGCAGUUAAUUGGAGAAAUACUUUCAAAUGGGUACAGUCCAAACUUUGAAGUAAUAUAAAUCCACAUUUGAAAAUUCCAUAUACCUCUAUUUAAACUGUUUGUGCUCACUAAACCUGAAAUUUUUAAGACUAUAAAAUAAAAAUAGGCUGGGCGGAGUGGCUCACGCCUGUAAUCCCAGCAAUAUGGGAGGCCGGGACAGGUGGAUCACCUGAGGUCAGGAGUUUGAAAACAGCCUGGCCAAUAUGGUGAAAUUCCAUCUCUAAUAAAAAUACCAAAAGAAAAAAAUAAAAUUAGCUAGAUGUGGUGGUGUGCAACUGUAAUCCCAGCUAUCCGGAGGCUGAGACAGGAGAAUUGCUUAAAACUGGGAAGCAGAGUUUGCAGUGAGCUGAGAUUGUGCCACUGCACUCCAGCGUGGGUGACAGAGCAAGGCUCUGUCUCUAAAUAAAAUAAUAAUAAUAAUAAAAUAAAUACUUUUUACUUCAUAGAUUUAUUCAAGGAGUCAAAGGUGAUUAUGAAUUUAAAGCUUAGUGAGUUAGCACAUGGUAGGCACUGAAUAAAUAUUGCAUUUUAUCAGUUACUAAAUUAGAAUAUGGACACACUUUUAAAAUUGAAAGUUUUUAAAAAUUUUUAUUUUAACUUAACAGUAAUAAGAACUGCAAAGCAGAUCACUGACAAUACAUUUAUUUUGUUAAUUGCUGCUUCAUGGACCAACUAAAAGUCUAUCCCUUCAACAAGUGAUACUGCUUUUAAAUUCUGUGGAGAACUUGGGCCUGAGUGUUUUAAUAUUUGUGUAUUGAAUUUAUUAGUAUUUUUCUGUAUUGGCUUUAUUCAUUGUUCUUCUUUUAUGCACCAUUGUUUAUUUCUUUGCAUCAUGUUUCUUACAAUAGCUGGUUUUCCA